ensembl:miRNA
CUGCUGCUGGAUGCGCUUGAUGGUUGCCCCCUUGGGGCCCACCACCAGCCCCACUACGCGGUAG